rnacentral:rRNA from 1 species
AUUGAACGCUGGCGGCAUGCUUUACACAUGCAAGUCGAACGGCAGCGCCGGCUUCGGCCUGGCGCCGAGUGGCGAACGGGUGAGUAAUGCAUCUGAACGUGCCCAGUCGUGGGGGAUAGCCCGCCGAAAGCCGGAUUAAUACCCCAUACGACCUUUUGUUGACAUCGGGUGACCGAAAGUCCUCGCGCCUUUUUAGCAGCCUAUGUUGCUUUAGCUAGGUGGUGGGGUAAAGGCUUACCGAGGCGGCGAUCCGAAGCUGGUCCUAGGGGACGACCCGCCAGCUGGGGAGUGAGGAAGGGCACAGACUCCGACGGGAGGCAGCAGUGGGGAAUUUUGGAGAAUGGGGGAAAGCGGGAUACAGCAAUGCCGCGGGAGGGAAGAAGGACUUCGGGUUGUAAAGCGCUUUUGUUCGGGAAGAAAUACUGUGGGCUAAUACGCCGGGGGAAUGACGGUACCGGAAGAAUAAGCACCGGCUAACUACGUG